rnacentral:snRNA from 1 species
GUACUUGUUUCGGCAGUACAUAUCCAAAAAUUGGAAUGACACAGAGAAGAUUAGCAUGGCGACACGCAAAAUCGUGUAGCUUUCCACAUUUUU